rnacentral:rRNA from 1 species
CAGUCGCCGCGGGAAUACGUAGGUCCCGAGCGUUGUCCGGAUUUAUUGGGCGUAAAGCGAGCGUAGGCGGUUAGAUAAGUCUGAAGUUAAAGGCUGUGGCUUAACCAUAGUACGCUUUGGAAACUGUUUAACUUGAGUGCGAGAGGGGAGAGUGGAAUUCCAUGUGUAGCGGUGAAAUGCGUAGAUAUAUGGAGGAACACCGGUGGCGAAAGCGGCUCUCUGGCUUGUAACUGACGCUGAGGCUCGAAAGCGUGGGGAGCAAACAGGAUUAGAUACCCCUGUAGUCCCUGUCUCUUAUACA